UACAGAGGGUGCGAGCGUUGUUCGGAAUUACUGGGCGUAAAGAGCUCGUAGGCGGCUUAGUAAGUCGGGUGUGAAACCUCCAGGCUCAACCUGGAGACGCCACCCGAUACUGCUGUGGCUAGAGUCCGGUAGGGGAGCGUGGAAUUCCUGGUGUAGCGGUGAAAUGCGCAGAUAUCAGGAGGAACACCAGCGGCGAAGGCGGCGCUCUGGGCCGGUACUGACGCUGAGGAGCGAAAGCGUGGGGAGCAAACGGG
rnacentral:rRNA from 1 species